CCCCGCCCCGAGCCCCCGUCCGCCCGUCCUUCCUUCCCCUCCCAUGCAUGAUGGAAACACCAUGGCUGCGGCAGCCCAGCUCUCCCUGACACAGUUAUCAAGUGGGAAUCCUGUAUAUGAAAAAUACUAUAGACAGGUUGAUACAGGCAGUACUGGAAGGGUGUUGGCUUCAGAUGCUGCUGCUUUCCUGAAAAGAUCGGGGCUUCCAGACUUGAUUCUUGGAAAGAUUUGGGAUUAGCAGACACAGAAUUGUCUAAGG